AAUAAACGAACAAUUUGCUUUGGAAUAGAAGGCCGAAACAUCCCGAGGGGAGAGGACUGCUGCCCGGCGACCUGACAGCGGGUUCAUGAAGCACCAUCACUGCUUGGACGGUACUCAGGGAGAUUUUCAGAGGACAGGUUGGCAGAGUCCCUUCAUCACAGCAAAAGCCUG
rnacentral:lncRNA from 1 species